CAAUCUCAUAAUUAUCCUUAAAAUCAGCUCUUUAUUAUUUGGAAGGCUAGAAAAUUAUAAAAUCUUCCUUAUCUUUCCCUCCUGUUUCUCCUUUUAGCCAGUAUGUAUAUUUUGCCAUCAUUGGCAGAGUUACCGUCUUAAAUAAAUAAUAACAACAAUUAAGCAUUUCAAAUCAUAAGCCUAUUUAAAAAACAAUGCAAUCCUACACUUUGGUUGACUAUUUUCUACAAGAUUAAAAAUUCAGAUUCUUUUCCAUUGCAUUCAAAGUUCAUCUCAUCUUUCUAGCUCAUCACCUCUCCUUCUUCAUAUGUACAUACAACUCCAAGCUUCGCCAUAUUGAAAUUCUCACCAUAACAUGGGGGUACCUUUGCAGGUGUUAUUUUCUCUGCCUAGAAUGAUUUCCCCCCAUGUCUUCAUUCUACAUCUUUUAGUAAACAGCUUGAAUUUUAUCUUUUUAGGUGCAACCUGGAAAGUUACCCCACAGUUACCCCAGAGAGUUACCAAAACCAACGAAAUCUCCAAUUCCUUGUGUGGCAACAUAUCCAUUUUCCUGUCACCCUGUCUUGACAAUCUAGUCCUUUAGAACAAAGAAUUUAUCCUACUCAUUUCCGUAAUGCCCAGUGCCUAGUAGAGAGUCUGGAUCAUAGGAAGUAGUAAAUGCCAAAUUGAUAAAUAUUUUUAUACAUACAUGCUUUACAUUAAUCACUGAAAAUUAAUGAUGAGAAUUCACAUAGGAAAAGAAACUCUCCACUAUUUUCUUUUCAGUAUGUCUCCCAUGUUACAAAGAUUACUUUUACAAAUUAGGUUGACAGGAGUUCCUUUCGUGGCACAGCAGAAACAAUCCUACUAGGAACCAUGAGGUUGUGGGUUUGAUCCCUGGCCUCACUUAGUGGGUUAAGGAUCUGGCAUUGCUGUGAGCUGUGGUAUAGGCCCACAGAUGUGGCUUGAAUCCUGCAUUGCUGUGUCUGUGGUGUAGGCCGGUAGCUGUAGCUCUGAUUAGACCUCUAGACCGGAAACCUCCAUAUGCUGUGGGUAUGGCCCUAAAAAGCAAAAAAAAAAAAAACCCAAAAAACAAAAAAAACCAACAACCAAAACCAAAAAAACAAAUUAGGUAAAUAGGUUAUAAAGACAGUAGAUUUUUAAGCCACUUUAUGAACUGUAUUUAUGGAAUAUAUUUGGGGCAGUUAACAAGAUUGCUUGAUAACUAAUACAUAACUAAUCAAUUAUAUUUUAAUAUAAUAUCUUUUUUGGUCAUACAUGUUCAUAUUUUUCAUUCUACCUAAUAUAUAUAUAUAUAUAUAUAUAUAUUAAGAAUAUGACUCACCAUUAAACGUACUCACAAGAGCUAUAAUGGCCACUUUUAUUAAAAUAAACAUUUUAGUAAUAAAAUGACUUCAUAUAUACAGAAGUCAAUAAAUAUUUUAAAUGGUUCACGCUUUCAUGUAUUAAAUUUAUUGUAUAUUGAAAACAUAUAAGAAACGAAACUGCUUUUCAGGUACCUAGAUCUGACUAUAUUUUCUUGUCAUAUUAUCUGAAAAUGUACAAAUCAAAAUUUUAAUUUUUUUGACAAGAUCUAUAUAUGUGGAAGUUUUCUUAAAUUCAUUUUAAACACUCUGUCAUGGCAGUGAUAUCAAAACUUAAAUCCAGUUCUGAAAUUUCUUUGUAUUAUGUUGAAAUCUUUAGAAGAAUAAAAACAAAAGUGAUCUUAGUAAAACAGAAGGUACCUAUGUCAUACCUACCCAUUGUCAAUAUACAACAGCAACUACAAACAUUUCGUUAGCUGCUGGAUCAGAAGAAUGACAGAGUUAGCUAUACAUGGCAUUGUCGCCUUAUGUAUAUUUAUGCUUUUCAUGAAAAAAAACCAUUUUCAAUUCACAGCGAAGGAGCCUGAAGUAUUCAUUACUGCAGAGGACAAGUGUUACUCUCAGUCUCCCACUGUAAACCUCUUCCAUCUUUGUUGCCACAUGCACGCAUUUGUUGUACUACCGUAGAAGAAAUAACACACACAACUCUCUGCAGCUGUCAAUUUUUGUUUAAACUUUUGACAAAAGCAAGUUCUUUGCAAGCAGUCAUUCAUUUAAGAAGAUUAGCAUUCAUCACUGAUCACUUAGGCAUUCUUAACUCAGAAAUGUUUUUACGCUAACCUGUGAUUCUGUAAGCAUACUAAUAGGAUUUGAGUAUUAGUAUUUUCCUAAUUGCUUUCUGAGUACCUUAAGGGAACCUGUUACGUUGAUGUUGAUUUUGCCUUAGACACUUCUAAAUAAUGUGCACAGAUCUGACAACUAAAUUUUGCUUAUAUCAAAGUAGAAAUCACAGAGAGAAAAAGGGAACCUAAUAUUUUCCAUUAACAUCUUUCAUAAGGCAUCAACAGCAAAGUGAAAUUAAAGUGAACAUAACAUGAAAAUUAAAAUGAGAGACUCUCAAACAGGGGUGAUCAAGGUUUCCAGGAAAGUAAUCCUUCUUAUAUUACUUCCUUUACCAUUUCCUUCUCUAAUCAUAUUGAAUAUGACCAAGAGCCUUUUUGCCAUGUUUCCAAAGGGUAGAACGAAGUAUAGCAAUAAGUGAAAAGAAAUAAUUAACUUUCCCUAUCCCAUAUCCUGGAUAUAAAAAAAACUAAAGUCUGAGACCAUAUGUAUUAGAAUAUCCAAGAGUUGGUAAACACAAAUAUACAAAUAAAUAUAAGUUGGUGACCACUUUUAACAAAUAUAACUUUGUCUCUGAACUUCAUGUUUAUAAAAUGACAUACAGUACUCAGAGCUCUUUUUUAUCAGGCAUUCAAAAGCCAAAGAUAAAAACUGAGGUUAUAUGAUAUCACACACAUCACACAUGCAGGUUAUUGUGCUAAAAAUACUUUUAGGGCAAUAUUUUAAUAUUAUGAUAAAAACAUUAACAUAAAAUAAGAAAUGUAUUUUAGGAAGUGUAGACAUUGAAAUUUGGACUAAACCUAGCCAUUGAAGUGGGUGUGUCUCUGUGUUCUUCAUCAUGUAUUUACAUCUGCUUUCAUCGGCUUGAGAUUUAAUACAGUUUAAUAAUGAGAUAGGGCCAAAAUAAUAAAUGAUUAACCAGAGCCACAUUUCUUGCUCAGCCUAAGAAAAUUUCUGAAAGUCCAUUAAAAAUAACUAUUAGCACUUCAAUUGUGUGUUUGUGAUUCUAAAGACCUCUGAGAGCUAAAAGCCAAUAAAUGGUUUCAGAAGACUCAGUGUGCAUGGAAAAAGGCAGAGCCGGCUCUUCGUAAGAUGUAGAAAAUAAAGAGGAGGACAGAAAGAAUGGAUCAGGUGUGAUGAGUGAAGAAGACAGAGUAUCGAUUUUGAGUUUUGAUAUAUAUGAUGAGAACCAUCUGAAGUUCUUGAGCAAGGGAGGGACAUGUUCAAUAAAGAAUUCAACAAAUACGACUCUGAAGGCUGCAAUGGGUUUUACAGAAGGGAAAAAGAUGAAAGAGUAAGCAAACUGUCUUAGCAGUCUAAUAACAUGGAACAUAAAGACUGUCACUUACAUCUUUCAACAUCCUAACCUAGGAGUUCCCUUGGUGGCGCAGUGGUUAACGAAUCUAACUAGGAACCAUGAGGUUGCGGGUUCAAUCCCUGGCCUCGCUCAGUGGGUUGAGGAUCCGGCGUUGCCAUGAGCUGUGGUGUAUGUCACAGACACUGCUCGGAUCCUGCAUUGCUGUGGCUGUGGCAUAGGACGGCAGCUGUAGCUCCAGUUGGACCCCUAGCCUGAUUUCAGUCUGCAGGUCAGAAUCCACAGUUUGUGUGUGUGUGCAUCUUCACAGAAGCAUGUGAAUUUCCUACUUUACAUUUAGAAGUUCAAAUUCGAAGACCUAGCUAGCAUUGCCAUGUUUUUAUAUGCCACAUUGUCUUGGUUUUCACGUGGAGCAUGCCUUUUCCAUUUUGCCACAGUCCCCACUAUUUUACAUCAUUGCCCUGACUGAGCUCC
rnacentral:lncRNA from 1 species